GAUGAAGAACGCAGCGAAAUGCGAUAAGUAGUGUGAAUUGCAGAAUUCAGUGAAUCAUCGAAUCUUUGAACGCACAUUGCGCCCCUUGGUAUCCCGAGGGGCAUGCCUGUUCGAGCGUCAUUACAACCCUCAAGCUCUGCUUGGUAUUGGGCCCCGCCAGUUCUGGCGGGCCCUAAAGUCAGUGGCGGUGCCUUCCGGCUCCGAGCGUAGUAAUUCUUCUCGCUCUGGAGACCCGGUUGUGUGCUUGCCAACAACCCCCAAUUUUUUAAGGUUGACCUCGGAUCAGGUAGGGAUACCCGCUGAACUUAAGCAUAUCAAUAAGCGGAGGA
rnacentral:misc_RNA from 1 species